GGAAGGAUACAGCUCAGUGGUAUAGUGCAUGCCUAGCAUGUACGAGGUCCUGGGUUCAAUUUCCAGUACCUCCA
rfam:Camelus ferus unplaced genomic scaffold scaffold56579, whole genome shotgun sequence.